UUUUAUGAGAGUUUGAUCCUGGCUCAGGACGAACGCUGGCGGCGUGCCUAAUACAUGCAAGUCGAACGCUUCUUUUUCCACCGGAGCUUGCUCCACCGGAAAAAGAGGAGUGGCGAACGGGUGAGUAACACGUGGGUAACCUGCCCAUCAGAAGGGGAUAACACUUGGAAACAGGUGCUAAUACCGUAUAACAAUCAAAACCGCAUGGUUUUGAUUUGAAAGGCGCUUUCGGGUGUCGCUGAUGGAUGGACCCGCGGUGCAUUAGC
rnacentral:rRNA from 1 species